rnacentral:rRNA from 1 species
UACAGAGGGUGCAAGCGUUGUUCGGAAUUAUUGGGCGUAAAGCGCGUGUAGGCGGCCUUGCAAGUCGGGUGUGAAAUCCCUCAGCUUAACUGAGGAAGUGCGCCCGAAACUGCAGGGCUUGAGUACCGGAGAGGGUGGCGGAAUACCCCAAGUAGAGGUGAAAUUCGUAGAUAUGGGGUGGAACACCGGUGGCGAAGGCGUCCGCCUUGACGGAUACUGACGCUGAGACGCGAAAGCG